rnacentral:rRNA from 1 species
UACGUAGGGUGCAAGCGUUGUCCGGAAUUAUUGGGCGUAAAGAGCUCGUAGGCGGUUUGUCGCGUCUGCUGUGAAAACCCGAGGCUCAACCUCGGGCCUGCAGUGGGUACGGGCAGACUAGAGUGCGGUAGGGGAGAUUGGAAUUCCUGGUGUAGCGGUGAAAUGCGCAGAUAUCAGGAGGAACACCGGAGGCGGAGGCGGGUCUCUGGGCCGAUACUGACGCUGAGGAGCGAAAGCGUGGGGAGCGAACAGG